rnacentral:lncRNA from 1 species
UCAAAAUCCAAACGUAAUUAAAUUAAACCAAGGUAACAGUGGAGCGUCUAAGACAUCAAAUCAAAACUGAAAGGAAAGCCUCGCGAACAAGCAAGGCAUACCGACCAGAACUGAAGAAGCGGAAACACUCAACAAAGUUCAACUGCUAUCAGAAACUAAGAACCUGAAAUAAUAUUAAAAAAUGAGGGUGAGUUCAACCAACUCAGUGAGGGAAUAACAUUUAAUAUACAUUUUAGAUAUUAAUAAUUUGUAAGAUGAUUUAUCUUAAUAUACAUAUACAUAUACUUACUAAACAUAUUAUCAUAACGUAACAUAUUAUCAUAACGUAGUGGAUUACAUGUCAGAGAUCAGAUGACACCCGAAGGUGACCAGAUGACACCCGUCGGUGACCAGAUGACACCCGUCGGUGACCACUGUGGGAUGAUCAAUCGCCACAGGCUGAUGCCUCUCUCACCAGCUAGGUAACAGAAUACUAUGUGCACACAGGCUAACUAUUCUCCGUUAGCAUGGAGUACUGACAAGUCCCAUAUCAAGGCAUAACAGAUAUUCACAUAAUCAUCAAAGAAGCGUAUAUCAUAUCAAAUAGAAUUUACUUUACAGAUUGCGAGUGCAAAUUCAAGAAUAAAUGAGUACUCGGAAAAUAAAGCAACAUAUAUAAAUAUUCAAGAAAUUUACUAGUUGUACUCAUUGUAUAAUCAACAUACAUAUUUAUUUAUAUUAUAUGCAUAUUAAAGAUUAUUCCACUCACCCGGAAAAUAUAGAACUAAAAGGAAUGUCGGACGAAAUACCCGAAAAUCCUGUUAAGGAUCGUUAGGAGAACCUACAUAAAUAUAUGAAAUAUACUCAAAAACAAAUCAAACAAAAGAUCCCAAUGCAUAAAAUAAAACCGGGCUUAAUCUCCCAAGUUUAGGGACUAAAACAACAAUUUUCCAAAACAAGGACCAAAACGUAAUUUUACCAAAAUUUGAGGACCGAAUUGUAAAUAUAUAACCAUACUGAAAUUAUGACCAUAAUUAAUCCUCAAUUCUGUCCAGGAUAUAUCAUUAUGCUCCAAGGACCAUUCUGGAACUUUACCAAAUUUUUAGGGUCAAAUUAUACUUUUUGUCAAAUUGGAGGACCAAACUGAAAAUAUUAAUUAUACUGGAAUUUUGUCCUUAAAUCAUCCUCAGUUCUGUUCAGAACCUCAAUUUAUGCCCCAGGGACCAAUCUGUAAAAUUUCCAAAGUUCGGGGACUAAACUGCAAUUUCACAAAUUGAGGGACCAAACUGAAUUUUCGUCAUCUUCAACCUCAAACCCAGAAUUUCAACAGAUCACCUACUGUUAGUUCCAGAUUUAUACCUCAACUUCAUCAUUCAAUUCAACCAUAACUCAAAAUCAUCAUAUUUCUCUACAAUCUCUCCAAUUCAACUAAAUAAUCAAAUACCCACAUCAAUCAACCCCUUAAUUCAAACUAAUUCAUCAAUAAACUCAAAAUUCAAAACUCUAAAAUUAAUCAAAAACCGAAAUUUAAAGCUAAAGAAAACAUAUUAUACAUAUUCAAGCAUAAUUCUUACCCUUUUACUUGUUUUCUUCAACCUUUUCCUUUUUCCCUUAUUUUCCCCUCUUUUCUCUUCUUCUUCUUCUUCCUCUCUUCUCUCCUGCCGGUUCUCUCUCCAAAUUCAGAUCCUUCUUUUUUUUUUUUUUUUUUUUCUUCUUAUAUAUAUUUAUCAACUAUUGGUCAAUUACCACACUACCCUUCAAUCAUUUAUACCCUCUUUUAAGCCUCCAAGGGCUUUAUUGUAUUUUCUCAUUCCUUUUUAUUACAAAACAUCACAAUCUCCCCACCUUAUAAAAGUUUCGUCCUCGAAACUUAAUAGAAAAGAUUAAAUACUUAC